rnacentral:rRNA from 1 species
GACGAACGCUGGCGGCGUGCUUAACACAUGCAAGUCGAGCGGAAAGGCCCUUCGGGGUACUCGAGCGGCGAACGGGUGAGUAACACGUGAGUAACCUGCCCUUGGCUCUGGGAUAGCUCCGGGAAACCGGAAUUAAUACCGGAUAUGACCUCGGCCGACAUCGGCUGUGGUGGAAAGAUUUAUCGGCCAGGGAUGGGCUCGCGGCCUAUCAGCUAGUUGGUGGGGUAACGGCCUACCAAGGCGACGACGGGUAGCCGGCCUGAGAGGGCGACCGGCCACACUGGGACUGAGACACGGCCCAGACUCCUACGGGAGGCAGCAGUGGGGAAUAUUGCGCAAUGGGCGAAAGCCUGACGCAGCGACGCCGCGU